rnacentral:tRNA from 1 species
AGAAAAUUAGUUAAAAAAUAAUAUUAAUUUGUCAAAUUAAAGUUACUCUAGUAUUUUCUG